UACGUAGGGCGCAAGCGUUGUCCGGAAUUAUUGGGCGUAAAGAGCUACGUAGGCGGUCUGUUACGUCCGCUGUGAAAACCCGGGGCUUAACCCCGGGCUUGCAGUGGAUACGGGUAGACUAGAGGCAGGUAGGGGAGAAGUGGAAUUCCCGGUGUAGCGGUGAAAUGCGCAGAUAUCGGGAGGAACACCGGUGGCGAAGGCGGUUCUCU
rnacentral:rRNA from 1 species